GCCUCGGUAGUGUAAUGGAUCAGCACAGCAGACCGGAUAUCUGGAGGUGCGAGUUCGCGUCCCGCCAGAGGUU
rnacentral:tRNA from 1 species